AUUGAACGCUGGCGGCAUGCCUUACACAUGCAAGUCGAACGGCAGCACGGGGCAACCUGGUGGCGAGUGGCGAACGGGUGAGUAAUGUAUCGGAACGUACCUUUCAGUGGGGGAUAACGUAGCGAAAGUUACGCUAAUACCGCAUAUUCUGUGAGCAGGAAAGCAGGGGAUCUUAGGACCUUGCGCUGAUUGAGCGGCCGAUAUCAGAUUAGCUAGUUGGUGAGGUAAAGGCUCACCAAGGCGACGAUCUGUAGCGGGUCUGAGAGGAUGAUCCGCCACACUGGAACUGAGACACGGUCCAGACUCCUACGGGAGGCUGCAGUGGGGAAUUUUGGACAAUGGGCGCAAGCCUGAUCCAGCCAUGCCGCGUGAGUGAAGAAGGCCUUCGGGUUGUAAAGCUCUUUCAGCCGGGAAGAAAACGCAUGGGUUAAUACCCUGUGUGGAUGACGGUACCGGAAUAAGAAGCACCGGCUAACUACGUGCCAGCCGCCGCCGUAACAC
rnacentral:rRNA from 1 species